UACGUAGGGUGCAAGCGUUAAUCGGAAUUACUGGGCGUAAAGCGUGCGCAGGCGGUUUUGUAAGUCUGUCGUGAAAUCCCCGGGCUCAACCUGGGAAUUGCGAUGGAGACUGCAAGGCUAGAGUUUGGCAGAGGGGGGUAGAAUUCCACGUGUAGCAGUGAAAUGCGUAGAUAUGUGGAGGAACACCGAUGGCGAAGGCAGCCCCCUGGGUCAAGACUGACGCUCAUGCACGAAAGCGUGGGGAGCAAGCAGG
rnacentral:rRNA from 1 species